GUGACCCGUUAUAGCCAACAGAAAAAAAGCAGAGGCCUGAAAAACAGGUGGGGGUCCUCCACCACCACCACUCACAGAGGCUGAGCAGUUGGCCCUCAGCCAAAACAGUGGGCGCCCUGUGGCCGAAGGCAUCUCUGCGGGGACAUCCUCUGAGUCAAUAACCCCACAAGACACAAGUGCCUACAUAAGAGGAAAAUAAUGAAGAAACAUUGACAGCUGUUACAGAGGAGGAAGCAACAGAGACACUUUAUGAGAGUGAUGAUGGAAAUGAAGAGGAAGAGGGUCCAGCCACUUCUCCAACAAACCUUUCCUCAGUAAGAUGUUCAGCACUGAUUUACAACCAACCUAAGUCGGCAUGUACUAUGAAUGUCAAUGCUAUUUUCUGUGUUUCAAUAGCUCCCUGUAAAGCAGCUGUACAAAACCUAUUUGAUCAAGAAAAUAAAAAAAUGCGACUUGGAUUUGGAACACUUCAAGCAGCAGAUCCAAAAGACCAAGAUUGAGAUUUUACUGCUGGAACAUCAGUUAAGGGUGGGUGAAGUGGUCAGAGAUGGACGAAUUAUUUCAGUGUUUGAACAACAUAAUAAUAUACUUAUUAAUACUUUGUGUACAGGAAA
ensembl:lncRNA